rnacentral:rRNA from 1 species
GACGAACGCUGGCGGCGUGCUUAACACAUGCAAGUCGAACGAAGAGCGAUGGAAGCUUGCUUCUAUCAAUCUUAGUGGCGAACGGGUGAGUAACGCGUAAUCAACCUGCCCUUCAGAGGGGGACAACAGUUGGAAACGACUGCUAAUACCUCAUACGAUCCAAUCUCGGCAUCGGGACUGGAUUAAAGGUGGCCUCUAUUUAUAAGCUAUCACUGAAGGAGGGGAUUGCGUCUGAUUAGCUAGUUGGAGGGGUAACGGCCCACCAAGGCGAUGAUCAGUAGCCGGUCUGAGAGGAUGAACGGCCACAUUGGGACUGAGACACGGCCCAGACUCCUACGGGAGGCAGCAGUGGGGAAUCUUCCGCAAUGGACGAAAGUCUGACGGAGCAACGCCGCGUGAGUGAUGACGGCCUUCGGGUUGUAAAGCUCUGUUAAUCGGGACGAAUGGUUCUUGUGCGAAUAGUGCGAGGAUUUGACGGUACCGGAAGAGAAAGCCACGGCUAACUACGUG